GGGAGAGGCAGCAGGCGUAAAGAAGGCCCUCCUGCAAGUUUCGGCUCGCCUCCAUGACACUCCCUCUCGGUCAAAUCAUUUGCUUGCUUUGAACAUGCCACAAAUAUACCCGCAUGGUGCUCCUUAUGCCUAUACAGAUGCUGGAGCACCUGUCCUGGAUAUUGGUCCACCGAUGGGUUCUUACGGAGGUUACAUGGGUGAUGCUGCAAGAGAUUGGCCGUCUUUCCGCCGUACUCCGAGAGAUGAGACUCUAGCAAAGGAGUUUGGCGUACGUCUGCUUUGUUCUGC
rnacentral:misc_RNA from 1 species